UCGGCAGCUCCAGGCUAUUCCGAGGAACAGUCUUCAGAGAGCCUGGGGUGCUGAUGGGGAAAAGCUGUUGCUGAGAUUUGACAAGUUUGGUCCUGAGAUGUCAGAAAGGAUUUCAGCUCUUCUGCCACCCCAAGGACGGUGGCGCGUAAAUCACAAGGACAAUGAAUCCAGGCAGUGAUCCACCAAUGAUAACUAACAUCAUAAAAAGAUACAUGGCCGGAUAUGAUGUUCCUUCUGACGGAAGACCACAACACCUGCUGAAAAAUCAAAUCUGAAUCGGAUCAAGCCUCUAGAGGAGGCAGCACCCAGGGUCAUUCCUGGAGCAUAAACGAUCCCUGCAGAACAUGGGCUAGAAGACCCCACAGUGGGGCAGAGGCAGGUCCUGGACUGGGAUCCCAGCAGUGAGAAGACCUGGACAUCAACCCUAUUUCAUUGUGCCUCUGCAAAUCUCCCAACUUUUGGAGCUGUAGCUGCAAGCUCAGACUUGUGGUUUCCUGUACCUGGAGGAGGCCCAGGUCAUUCUGUUAAGUCCCUUGUCUAUUUCCUGCUUUUAUCUGGAUGCUGAGUUAAUUAUUUGAUCCAACAAUAAAACUAACAAGGUUUUAUUUGUUUUUAAUGUCUUCUCUUUGCUGAACGCUGUGCUGGGUGCUGUAGCUGACAUGGUUUUUGUCUUAACAGCUCAUGAAUCAAAUCCCAGCUCCACCUUUUAUAGCUUUAGACAAGCAUUUAACCACCACUUGGGCCUGUUUCCUUACCUGCAAAGUGGGGAUAAUGACAGUUAAUAGCUACUUCAUUGUGACUUUGUGAGGAUUAAAUAAGAUACGGCAGAUAAACUACUUAAUAGGGUCUGGCACAUUGUAAGCCUCAAUAAAU
rnacentral:lncRNA from 10 species